rnacentral:rRNA from 1 species
UACGUAGGGUGCGAGCGUUAAUCGGAAUUACUGGGCGUAAAGCGUGCGCAGGCGGUUUUGUAAGCCAGAUGUGAAAUCCCCGGGCUUAACCUCGGAACUGCCUUCGAUACUGCGGGUCUCGAGUCCGGGAGAGGUGAGUGGAAUUCCUAGUGUAGAGGUGAAAUUCGUAGAUAUUAGGAAGAACACCAGUGGCGAAGGCGGCUCACUGGCCCGGUACUGACGCUGAGGCGCGAAAGCGUGGGGAGCAAACAGG